UACGUAGGGAGCGAGCGUUGUCCGGAAUUAUUGGGCGUAAAGAGCUCGUAGGCGGCCUGUUGCGUCCGCUGUGAAAGCCCGGGGCUUAACCCCGGGUCGGCAGUGGAUACGGGCAGGCUAGAGGUAGGUAGGGGAGAAUGGAAUUCCCGGUGUAGCGGUGAAAUGCGCAGAUAUCGGGAGGAACACCGGUGGCGAAGGCGGUUCUCUGGGCCUUACCUGACGCUGAGGAGCGAAAGCGUGGGGAGCGAACAGG
rnacentral:rRNA from 1 species